rnacentral:tRNA from 1 species
GCCUAGCUGGCUCAGUCAGUAGGGCAUGUGACUCUUGAUUGUAAGUUCAGGGUUGUGAGUUCAAGCCCCAUGAUGGGCA